CCAAUAGCGUAUAUUAAAGUUGUUGCAGUUAAAAAGCUCGUAGUUGAAUUUCGGGACCAAUAUGUCGGUCGUGCUUCGGUACGUACUUGCAUUAUUGGUUUCUCCCUUCUGAAGAACCAUGAUGUCAUUAAUUUGGUGUCUUGGGGAAUCAGGACUGUUACUUUGAAAAAAUUGGAGUGUUUAAAGCAGGCUCACGCUUGAAUACAUUAGCAUGGAAUAAUGAAAUAGGACGUUUGAUUCUAUUUUGUUGGUUUCUAGGAUCGACGUAAUGAUUAAUAGGGAUAGUUGGGGGCAUUAGUAUUCAAUUGUCAGAGGUGAAAUUCUUGGAUUUAUUGAAGACUAACUACUGCGAAAGCAUUGGCCAAGGAUGUUUUCAUUAAUCAAGAACGAAAGUUAGGGGAUCGAAGACGAUCAGAUACCGUCGUAGUCUUAACCAUAAACUAUGCCGACUAGGGAUCGGAUGAUGUUAUUUUUGAUGACUCAUUCGGCGCCUUACG
rnacentral:rRNA from 1 species